UCACGAGAGCUGGUAGGUUGUGAAAAAUGAAUUAAACUGUAAUCAGACAACGCGGUUAUAUGCUAUAGACCAGGGCUAUUCAACCUGCUUAACAAGUGGGCCAAAAAGGAAAACUACUGGUGGUUCAUGGGCCGCACAUACAAAACUUAUAAUGUCAAUAAAUCGAAUUAAGUAAAUCGUACUUAAAGUAGUGUUAACUUAAUAUAUAUAGAACUGCUAAAUGGAAUAAAGCAGACGCAUUCCUUUCUUUUUCACUUCUAAUUGCAUCAUGAUAACAAUUUUUGACCUUACAUAUUUUGGACACGCAACCUCUUGCGGGCCAGAAAAUAAAUAAGAAGGGCCGUAUUCGGCCCGCGGGCCGCUAGUUGAAUAGGCCUGCUAUAGACCCUAGAGCAGGGGUCUGAAACUCGCGUCCCGGGGGCCAAUUUAGGCCCGCGGGAGGAUAUUUUGUGGCCCCCUACAUCAAAGUGUUAGUGCGGCCCGCGCGUUGUUGUCAAACACACAGAGUGGCUUGCCACUGUUUUUUAUGACUUGUGAUAGAGUGACCAGAUGUCCUGGUUUUGCCGGGACAGUCCAAAUUUUGAGUUGCGUGUCCUGAGUCCCGACAAAAACCAAAGGACGCUAAAAUGUCCCGGUUUCCACCAACCGCCAUGAAAUGUCCCCUAUUGUCAGCGAUUACAUAGCCAACGUGAUCUAAUUAUAGCCCGAUCAUUAACUUAGAUUGGGUAAGUUGUGCUCCUUUUUUGUGUGGAAUACUUGAUGACCCAGACCCUACCUCCAGUGGCCCCCAGGUAAGUUGAGUUUGAGACCCCUGCCCUAGAGUAUCUGUGGUAAAGAGGCUGGUUACAUCUCACCCAGAUGUUACGCCUCAUCUGAACAGUUGGGUAUUGGAAACAUAUUUCCGGACCCAGAGUGAACUGGAAACGCCAGCCAAAGCCCGCCGGGAGAAACAGACGUCUGAGCAUAGAGUGAGGGUUUUGUAUAAUUUAGUUAAUUAAUUAAGGGCGCCACCAGAGGGCGCCCCCGACACGUUUGCCGCCCUAGGCGAUAUAUUUAUUUUUCUUCCUCCAUGGGCCCCUGACGCCGUCUUGGCCCAGUUGCAGUGCACCGGUUACAACGUCGAUAUUUACGCCACUAGCAUAGUACAGUAUCGGCUUCCUGUGAUGUCCAGGCCAUCAGAGCUAAUUACCCAGCACAAGAUGGGCAGUACCGUGGCUACCAGGAGACAGUAGAUGCUCAAGAUGAGCUGUGACUAUUUUGACUCUAGCAAACGCACCCUAAACGUUUUAUUUUUGUAAAUAGUUCAUGUUGGUUGUUGUGAUUUGUUUACUAACCCAAGUGCUGUUAUACUAAAGUAGGC
rnacentral:lncRNA from 1 species